rnacentral:tRNA from 1 species
GUGAUUAUAACUCAGUUGGUUUAGAGUGUGUUAUUUUAUGAUUUUAAAAGUUAUAGGUUCAAAUCCUAUUAAUCACC